GGGAGAGACCCAGGUAAACCUGGGAAAUGUGGAAGCCGCGUCCGGAGACUCGCUGAAUUGCAACAGGCUUUGUGCUUCUACCACUGUCUCCCUAAUUUAAAUCGUAUGCACAUUGAAGCGCGGAGAGAGUAAAUUACCUGUCAGCACAGAUGGAAAAUGAGAGGAUUUGAACAUGUGCAGUUUGGCUUUGGCACCUGUGCACGUGAGGCUGAUGCUGCUGGACUGGAAGCCAUACUUUGAGAACCGCUAACCUACCCAUCCUCCCCUCCCUCUGUCAAUGCCGAGACUAGACUGAACGUGCUCCAUCUCUUCCUGCUUUUCCGAGGCAUUCACAGUGAAAAUGUCCCCACUAUUCCUUUCUUAGCUUUUAAAUAUAUUGCCAACCUUCCCUCCUCUCCAUACUCAUAUUUGCUAGUUUUCAACAAAGAGCAACCUGAUAAUGUGCGUCAUAUGAAUGGACUUUUCUCAUCCCAUUUUUCCUUCAGUGUUUUUGAGGAAAAUAUUUCUUACAAGAGUCUCUUCCUCUCCUUUAGUUUUGGCAGCCUCCCUCAGGUUGCCCACAUCAUCUAAGAUCCUCUUGGGGUUCUGAUGUGAGCUUGGAGUGGGAGGUCCUGUUCAAAGGUUAUACAAACUUGAUUUUUACUGCCAAGGUUGACUCAUUCAUUCAGGCAACAAAGAAUUCCUGUGGGCCUAACUACCUCUGCAAGGUGUUAGGGAUACAAUGUGAUGGAGAAAGAUAAGGUGUCCAAUAGUGAGGUAGGUGGGUGGUGAUAUAUACCUUGAAAAGUUACUCAUCUAAAUAAUGAUCCUAAAGAAAAUUUCAGGGAGAUUGCUCUAAUGUGAGAUGAUCUAGCCAUGCCAUGCUCACACUCCUCACCCACAUAAACUGAGAUAAUCCAUGUGUGUUGUUUAAGCUGCUAAAUUUGUGAUCACUUGAUAUGCAGCAACAGAAACUAUUAGUCUCUUUAGUGGGCAAUUUGUCUAUAAUUAUCAAAGUUGCUGGAGCACAUACCAUUUGAUACAACUUUUCUAUUUUCAGUGCUUUAUCCCAUAGACCUGAGCCACCCAACUUCAGUUCCUCUGUCUCCCUACCCAUAUAUCUAGAGCUCAACAGCCACCUGUAACUAGUGGUUAUGUAUUGGAAGCAGCAGAUAUAGAACAUUUCCAUUGUAACAGCAAGUUCUAUGGACAAUGCGGCUAUACACCUACUCACACAAAUGUCCAGGACAGCAUUGGUCACACUAGCAAAGAGAUUAAAUAAAUACAAUAGAUGUAAUUACUGGUAUGUGACCUCCAUGAGAAAGGACAGGAAUUUUUGUCCAUUUUUACUACUAUAUCUUCAGCUUCUAAAACAGUACCUAAUGCAUCGUAGGU